UCCUCUUCGUUCUCUUGACGCUACCAAUCCCUCAAUUAGUCACGCUCAUUCUCGAUGACUUUCUAGUGAGAGGAGUUUCAGCUGACGACGCUGUGGACCUGGAGCUGACACUGGUGUGGACACUGCGCGCUACUUCCUUCUUAUAAUGCUGCAAGACAAUAGGUUCAUUGUUUGCCAUAUGGAUGAGCUUCUUCAUCCGCUUGAUUGGCCUAGUUGCUUACGGUUUCGGUAGUAUUGCUGUUCUUUCUUCGGAAGGUGGAAGCACUUAUACGUCGAGUGGAUAUCAGAGCUUCUGUUAGUUGGCUUUGUUUGAUUUUUAUUUGAUUUGAUUUUUUUUUUUUUUUUUUAUCACUGUUGUUGCUGCUGUUCUUGUUUGUUUUUUUUUAGUUUGUUUUAAUAUAUUCUUGAAACGGAAGCUGUGUACUCGGUAGCAGAUUGAAACACGAUAUUGCGGAGUGCCGUCUGCUUGGAAAUUGUCGAGAGUGUGUGCUUUACAUUGUGGACCUCAUGCGCGGCGACAAGCACUCUCUCAUCGAGUGUCACUGCCUGAGCGACAGGAUGGGAACUGACAGGAAAUUCAAGCUUCGAUUAUGUUUGACAGCGCUUUAGUACUGCCGUCGACGAGCAUAAGGCACUUCUCAUUUUUUUCUCCUUCGGCUGCUGUCGCUUGCUUCCUUUGCCGCCAUUGUUCUGUUUCGACUGAACGCGGGUAAUGCCUGGGGUACCUUCUUCGUAAUCACAAAUUCCAUUUUCCUCAUAUGUCACUGUAUCUGUGCAACUAUCUGACUUCUAUUUCGCGAAGGUGAUGAUUUGAGUCGGGUUUGAAGAAACAGGAAGCGAGAGGGAAAUGUAGGGGACAGAGCAGUAGAAAACGCUUGGUUUCGCUGCAAGGUCAUCGGUGCCCUACAACGCGUUGGGUGGAGUCCAUUUUUUAAUUGGACAUCGUCUUCAAGUUUUAUGGAAAGUUUUAGUUGAUAUGUGUAUCUUUCCCGAUUAGGUUUGACAAUAGUGCUGUGGCUUACCGAUCAUUGAGAUAUUUGCAUUGGAACACCAUUUUGCAUUCCCCAACCUUCCCCUUCCUUGAUUUGUCGGCUCCUCUGAGUUUUGGAAUCGUACGACAAAAGUUACAUGCAAAAAGUAACAACUAAUUCGACUCCAACGAGAGGGAAGACAUGUAGCUAAUGAACAAUCGAUUCAUCAAUGACUAUAGUCAUCCGAUGAUGGUAAUAAGCAGUCAUAAGAUACCUUAGGUUAGCAUCACGUGCUUGCCAAGUCUACGAAAUUCUAUGAGAGGAGAAAUGGGAGAGCGUUCGCACAUGCGUUACUCGACUCUUGCAUCUUGUCAAGACUCUAGGCGAGACCAUUCUACUUCGUUCUCUGGGCUUACAACUGCGGCGCACGAGGACCUCCGCUACCGUUUUGAGCUUCCGGAGGACGUGCCAUGGAAGUCCAUCGCUUUAGCCGUCGUCUUGCUCGCGUUCGGAUGUUUCUUCCUGAUCAUCUCGCACUUUAUCUACACCCAGCACAUGGAGGGGGAUUCCUCUCAGGCUUACGGAUUCCUGGUGGCCGGCAUCCUUCUUUUCCUACCGGGCUUCUACGAGACCCGAAUCGCCUACUACUCGUGGCGCGGCUCUGUUGUGUCUUCCUGCGAUAGCCACGAAGAACAAAAUAUCAGCUUCACUCGGGAAGGUUGUGUUUGGUGCCGGAAUAGUGCAGGGUCAUGCUUUUUUCGUAAUAGUUCAUCAUGUCGCACAUUUACCGUCAUCAAUACAAACGUCGAAAGCCGAACUAGACAUUAAAAUAGGAAACCGUCUCUACUUCUCAGUUUUGUUUCGGACAGAUUUUCAUUAUAUGACGCAAUGGCGAUGGGCAAUUCAGCUACGACGUUUAGAUUUCCAUGAAAGGUCAUUGCUGCUAGUAAAAGAGUACUUACCAAUACCGGGAACGGUAUCUGCCAUGCAACUCUUUUGCAAAGUCGGCUUAGCGCGAUAAUACCUGCCAUUGGGAGCAGUAAGAACGCUACAAGAAGGUCGCAGGAUUUGCAAUGGUUGUGCAGAAUUUUUAAUUUUUUUAUUCAUGAAUGCCACAAUUUUUUUGGUUCAUUUUCUUGGUAACUCUGGGAGUGUCGUUGAAUGAACAUUGCAUACUUACAAAUAAAUGUUUCAAAAUUCUUCGUCGCAACAAGCUAAUUGAUGGCAAUUGAAGUUUUACUGGUGGAUUUGGAGGAGCUAAUUGCGUAAAUGUAACAGUGUCUAUGAGUGGGAUACCCCUGUCGUUGAGACUCGACCAUGGAGACAUGGUUUGAUUAUCGGCCUCGCAGUUUCCGAAGCUGCGCUGACCCAUUUUCCAACCUCGAGGCGUGAAAUCCGGAUUGAAUAGAACAACUGGUUUCCGUUCGUCUUUGAAGAAUGUACCUUUUCUCUGAUGAUCUGGUUAGAAGUAUCAUUCUGUCAUCAACAAUCCUGCCGAACAAUGUAGUUCAAGACGGUGGAGCCGCUGCUUGGUAAUUUCUCACGAUUUAAGCUAGUGAAUUUCCAAGUCUGACGUUUGGGAUUAAUCACAGGCUAUACGAUGUCCUCCCUGCAAGCAAUUGCUGGAUAUUGCACAUGCUAAGAUUCUUCUGUGUUGUCAUUCUGGCUAAGCAUGUGGUGAGAACCUUGACAAAGCAGUAAUAGUCAUAACAAUCGUCAUAGGCACAUGCAAUCUCCUGGAAAGCUCUCUGCAGAAAUUGCGGCCUUACGUUGUUGACUGAAGAACUAAUAUACAACCUGGACUCCAGGGUUUUGAACUUUAGUGUAGGGAAAUCUCGAGACGAUCCAACUUUAUUGGCAGGAGGAUGAGGGUAUACACAUUUGAGAUCGGAGAUGAGUCUUGAUUACGUAGAGUGGCGGUGUACAUUGUAACUUUAGGUACACAUACCAGCUAGUUGUAGUCAUAUGUCACUUCUUUCUGCAGACUGUUGACCGCUGCCAGUUGAUUUCACCCUCAUUUACUCAGAAGUAGUAGCGCCUCAAAGCAAUCAUGGAUAGAUGAGUGUAAACUAUCAAGACACCAUCAACCUAGAGCAAAAUCAGAAUACUUGCAAGGUGACGUCUUGCUUUUGGAAAUAUAUUAAUUUUAUCACAUUUACGUUC